GAUGAAGAACGUAGCAAAAUGCGAAAAGUAAUGUGAAUUGCAGAAUUCAGUGAAUCAUCGAAUCUUUGAACGCACAUUGCGCCCGCCAGUAUUCUGGCGGGCAUGCCUGUUCGAGCGUCAUUUCAACCCUCAAGCACAGCUUGGUGUUGGGACUCGCGUUAAUUCGCGUUCCCCAAAUUGAUUGGCGGUCACGUCGAGCUUCCAUAGCGUAGUAGUAAAACCCUCGUUACUGGUAAUCGUCGCGGCCACGCCGUUAAACCCCAACUUCUGAAUGUUGACCUCGGAUCAGGUAGGAAUACCCGCUGAACUUAAGCAUAUCAAUAAGCGGAGGA
rnacentral:misc_RNA from 1 species